AUUGAACGCUGGCGGCAUGCCUUACACAUGCAAGUCGAACGGCAGCACGGGAGCAAUCCUGGUGGCGAGUGGCGAACGGGUGAGUAAUAUAUCGGAACGUGCCCAGUCGUGGGGAUAACGUAGCGAAAGCUACGCUAAUACCGCAUACGAUCUAUGGAUGAAAGCGGGGGAUCGCAAGACCUCGCGCGAUUGGAGCGGCCGAUAUCAGAUUAGGUAGUUGGUGGGGUAAAGGCUCACCAAGCCAACGAUCUGUAGCUGGUCUGAGAGGACGACCAGCCACACUGGAACUGAGACACGGUCCAGACUCCUACGGGAGGCAGCAGUGGGGAAUUUUGGACAAUGGGCGCAAGCCUGAUCCAGCAAUGCCGCGUGCAGGAUGAAGGCCUU
rnacentral:rRNA from 1 species